GGUGGCCUAGUGGUUAGAGCAUUUGCCUUAUAUGCGAUGGUUGAGGGUUCGAUUCCCGGUAGAUUCA